CUGAAAGGCAAAGAAAGGAAACAGAAUUUUGCAGGUGGGAGGUUAAGCAAGGUGAGGGCAUGGAGAGGGGCAGGAAGAAGCGCCGGAAGGUGUUGAGACAAUGUUGAAUAUGAGAUUUCUAGUUAAUGGCUCUGUGAUGCCAAAGUCUCCAGCAAAAUCCACUGUACUACACAUGUGCUUUUUUAAUUUGAUCUUAUUUGGAGAAGAAAAGAAAAUUACAGACAAAGGGUAUGUCCCACCUGCAGGUGAAUGCUGGGGAGGAAGGUGCAUCAAAGAAUACUGCAAAAUUCCAGGGACUCAGAGAGCCUUGGGAGAUGCAGGAAAAGCCAAAGGAUUGCCUACUUGGGGACCCAUCCUGGAAAAGACCUCAAAAUAGAUCUUCUCAAGUUACCCGAAGGCAGACAUAAUAGCAUAAAACCUUCUCAACUGAGUCCUUGCUAGGGCUCCAGGCAGGGCAGAGGACUAGAUUGUCUUCUCUCUGCACUCCUGCCUGUAGCUGGGCCCUCAGCCAGAUGGACACUGGGAGGAGGUGAACAGGACAAUGGUGAGUCUCCAUGUUGGCUGGACAGUCAUUCAACAAUGCAUUGAAAUUCAGUCAUUAAGCCAUAGGUGGCAGGAAGUGAGAUAGACAUCAGGGACAUGAAGACAAAAAAUUAAAAUACCCUGGAAGAAUUUGUUCUUAGAGACUGGAACAUAAACAUGAUCACAGGUUAAAAUGAGGCAAAGAAAUCAUCAUAAUGCUGCACGUGAGGACGGAUUUGGGGUUUUGGCAAGCAGCCUGGAGGUUUUCAGAUCUUCUAGAAACAUCAUCUUUUAGUCCUCCAAAUGAUGUCUUAUGCAGAACACCAUGCAGUUUCUAGAAUGAUCUUCCCAAAAUGUCAAUCUGACCAUGUCACUCCUUGGCUUAAGGCAAGCAUCUGCAAACUCUUUCUAUAAAGGGCCAGAGAGUAUAUAUUCUAGAUUUUGAGGCCAGGCAGUCCCUGUUGAAACUACUGAAAUCUGCUCUUGCUUAACUAAUGAAGCAAACACAAGUAAAUGAAAGGCUAUGAUUGUGUUCAAUAAAACUCCACAUAGAAAAACA
rnacentral:lncRNA from 12 species